rnacentral:rRNA from 1 species
AUUCUGGCUCAGGAUGAACGCUGGCGGCGUGCUUAACACAUGCAAGUCGAACGGGAUCCAUCAGGCUUUGCUUGGUGGUGAGAGUGGCGAACGGGUGAGUAAUGCGUGACCGACCUGCCCCAUGCUCCGGAAUAGCUCCUGGAAACGGGUGGUAAUGCCGGAUGUUCCACAUGAUCGCAUGUGAUUGUGGGAAAGAUUCUAUCGGCGUGGGAUGGGGUCGCGUCCUAUCAGCUUGUUGGUGAGGUAACGGCUCACCAAGGCUUCGACGGGUAGCCGGCCUGAGAGGGCGACCGGCCACAUUGGGACUGAGAUACGGCCCAGACUCCUACGGGAGGCAGCAGUGGGGAAUAUUGCACAAUGGGCGCAAGCCUGAUGCAGCGACGCCGCGUGAGGGAUGGAGGCCUUCGGGUUGUAAACCUCUUUUAUCGGGGAGCAAGCGAGAGUGAGUUUACCCGUUGAAUAAGCACCGGCUAACUACGUGCCAGCAGCCGCGGUAAUACGUAGGGUGCAAGCGUUAUCCGGAAUUAUUGGGCGUAAAGGGCUCGUAGGCGGUUCGUCGCGUCCGGUGUGAAAGUCCAUCGCUUAACGGUGGAUCUGCGCCGGGUACGGGCGGGCUGGAGUGCGGUAGGGGAGACUGGAAUUCCCGGUGUAACGGUGGAAUGUGUAGAUAUCGGGAAGAACACCAAUGGCGAAGGCAGGUCUCUGGGCCGUUACUGACGCUGAGGAGCGAAAGCGUGGGGAGCGAACAGGAUUAGAUACCCUGGUAGUCCACGCCGUAAACGGUGGACGCUGGAUGUGGGGCACGUUCCACGUGUUCCGUGUCGGAGCUAACGCGUUAAGCGUCCCGCCUGGGGAGUACGGCCGCAAGGCUAAAACUCAAAGAAAUUGACGGGGGCCCGCACAAGCGGCGGAGCAUGCGGAUUAAUUCGAUGCAACGCGAAGAACCUUACCUGGGCUUGACAUGUUCCCGACGACGCCAGAGAUGGCGUUUCCCUUCGGGGCGGGUUCACAGGUGGUGCAUGGUCGUCGUCAGCUCGUGUCGUGAGAUGUUGGGUUAAGUCCCGCAACGAGCGCAACCC